AUGUUGACCGGAAACAACGAUAUGAAGCCGCCGAUUCCUAAACGACCCCGGCGGAUGGCUAUGUCGCCGGAAUCAGCACCUUUAGCCUCCGGCAGUAGCAGCUUCAUCCCAGAUGAUAUAAUCUUCUUUCAGAUACUCGUACUUCUUCCUGUGAAGUCCCUUGUGCGCUUCCAAACCGUCUGCAAGUCAUGGCGCACCACAUUAACCAGCAUCAGUUUCGUGCGCUGGCACCUGGAGCUUUCCAAGCGAACAAGGUCGACCAUGGUCCUCGUGCCACGCAAGUAUCAGGAGGACCGACGGAAGGCGUGUUCUAGAUUACUCAGUAUCUUCAGCUUCCAGCCAGGGGAAAGCAAGUGUGCGGAGCUUAUCUUNNNNNNNNNNGUGUAA
rnacentral:rRNA from 1 species